rnacentral:rRNA from 1 species
GAGGACCGGGAUGGACAUACCUCUGGUGUAUCGGUUGUUCCGCCAGGAGCAGUGCCGAGUAGCUAAGUAUGGAAGGGAUAAACGCUGAAAGCAUCUAAGCGUGAAACCCGCCUCAAAACAAGGUAUCCCUAUCAGAGCCGUGGAAGACCACCACGUUGAUAGGCCAGGUGUGGAAGCGCAGUAAUGCGUGCAGCUAACUGGUACUAAUUGCUCGAUUGGCUUAAAUUC